CUAAGGCUCCAUUUCUUCUCCACUAAUAAUAUUUUCCUUUAUUUAACAUCCUCUAAGUACAUCUUCACCUAAAAAUUAUAAUUUUGGCACUAUACAUGUAUUCUUUUGUCUUAAAACAACUAGUGAGUCAAUUUGAUGAUUCACACCCUCUUUAUAGGAUGCAAAGAAAAGACUAAAUGACAACCUUACAAAUCCAUCCAAAAGAACCAUUAGCUUUUAAAACUUCAAAACAAAUCCACAAUUUCUUAUCCACAUUACAAGAAAAUAAGGUAUUUGGAUUUUAAAUGUUUCAAAAAUAAGAGAAGAGUUACUACAAUUUUAAUAACAACAAAUCAUGAUAAUAAAAAAAACAAAAAAAUAUGGAAGCAAGAAAAAAUAGAGGAAUUAGCUCCGACUAUUGUAUUACAUAUUGUUUUGUUUGAAAAUACAUUGGAUACUUGGCUGUAGAAGAUGAAGUUGUGUUUUACAAAUAUUGAAGAAACU
rnacentral:lncRNA from 1 species